rnacentral:rRNA from 1 species
GACGAACGCUGGCGGCGUGCUUAACACAUGCAAGUCGAACGGAAAGGCCCUGCUUUUGUGGGGUGCUCGAGUGGCGAACGGGUGAGUAACACGUGAGUAACCUGCCCUUGACUUUGGGAUAACUUCAGGAAACUGGGGCUAAUACCGGAUAGGAGCUCCUGCUGCAUGGUGGGGGUUGGAAAGUUUCGGCGGUUGGGGAUGGACUCGCGGCUUAUCAGCUUGUUGGUGGGGUAGUGGCUUACCAAGGCUUUGACGGGUAGCCGGCCUGAGAGGGUGACCGGCCACAUUGGGACUGAGAUACGGCCCAGACUCCUACGGGAGGCAGCAGUGGGGAAGAUUGCACAAUGGGCGGAAGCCUGAUGCAGCAACGCCGCGUGCGGGAUGACGGCCUUCGGGUUGUAAACCGCUUUCGCUCAUGACGAAGCUUUGUGUGACGGUAGUGGGUAAAGAAGCACCGGCUAACUACGUG